UUGUUCCUGCAGAAAUUUGUCGCAUCUUUCGAUCAGCUGGUGAAGAACUCUUGCAGCAUUAUAUAAGCUUGAAAACUCAGAAGAUCUUGAUUGUGUUGAAGAAGAGGUUUACAACCCCCAAUUGGGUUAAGCAUAAAGAGCCCAGGGAAGUUCAUAUGUUCGUUGAUCUGCUUCUUCAAGAGUUGGAUACAAUCCUUAAUGAAGUGAAGCAAAUAUUGCCUGAAGGACUACAGCCUAAGCAUCGGCGCACAGACAGCAAUGGGAGUGCCACUUCUUCUCGUAGUAAUCCGUUGAGAGAUGAUAGGCUAGUACGAUCAAAUACCCAAAAGGCCAGGAGUCAGCUUCUUGAGUCCCAUUUAGCAAAAUUGUUUAAGCAGAAGAUGGAA
rnacentral:misc_RNA from 1 species